UACGGAGGGGGCAAGCGUUAUUCGGAAUUACUGGGCGUAAAGCGCGCGUAGGCGGACCUGCAAGUCGGGGGUGAAAGCCCGAGGCUCAACCUCGGAACUGCCUUCGAUACUGCGGGUCUCGAGUCCGGGAGAGGUGAGUGGAAUUCCUAGUGUAGAGGUGAAAUUCGUAGAUAUUAGGAAGAACACCAGUGGCGAAGGCGGCUCACUGGCCCGGUACUGACGCUGAGGCGCGAAAGCGUGGGGAGCAAACAGG
rnacentral:rRNA from 1 species